rnacentral:rRNA from 1 species
GACAGAGGUGCCAAGCGUUAGGCGGAAUCACUGGGCUUAAAGCGUGUGUAGGCGGGUCGUUAAGUACCUUGUGAAAUCCCACGGCUCAACCGUGGAACUGCUCGGUAUACUGGCGAUCUUGGGCCACUUAGGGGCUAGCGGAACAAACGGUGGAGCGGUGAAAUGCGUAGAUAUCGCUUGGAACGCCGAAGGUGAAAACAGGCUGCUGGGGUUGCGCCGACGCUGAGACACGAAAGCCAGGGGAGCAAACGGG